rnacentral:rRNA from 1 species
GAUGAACGCUGGCGGCGUGCCUAAUACAUGCAAGUCGAGCGAACGGACGAGAAGCUUGCUUCUCUGAUGUUAGCGGCGGACGGGUGAGUAACACGUGGAUAACCUACCUAUAAGACUGGGAUAACUUCGGGAAACCGGAGCUAAUACCGGAUAAUAUUUUGAACCGCAUGGUUCAAAAGUGAAAGACGGUCUUGCUGUCACUUAUAGAUGGAUCCAGGCUGCAUUAGCUAGUUGGUAAGGUAACGGCCUACCAAGGCAACGAUGCAUAGCCGACCUGAGAGGGUGAUCGGCGACACGGGAACGUAGACACGGUCAAUACUACUACGGGAGGCAGCAGUAGGGAAUCUUCCGCAAUGGGCGAAAGCCUGACGGAGCAACGCCGAGUGAGUGAUGAAGGUCUUCGGAUCGUAAAACUCUGUUAUGAGGGAAGAACAGAUGUGUAAGUAACUGUGCACAUCUUGACGGUACCUAAUCAGAAAGCCACGGCUAACUACGUG